UACACAUGCAGUCGAACGGAACUUCGGGUUAGUGGCGGACGGGUGAGUACGCGUGAAUCUGCUCUAGUCGGGACACAUUGAAACGAUUGCUAUACCGAUGUGCAGCAUGUGAAAGAAUAUUGCCUAGAGAUGAGCUCGCGUCUGAUUAGCUAGUAGGUGUGGUAAUGGCGCACCUAGGCGACGAUCAGUAACUGGUCUGAGAGGAUGACCAGUCACACUGGGACUGAGACACGGCCCAGACUCCUACGGGAGGCAGCAGUGGGGAAUUUUCCGCAAUGGGCGAAAGCCUGACGGAGCAAUACCGCGUGAGGGACGAAGGCUUUUGGGUCGUAAACCUCUUUUCCCUGAGAAGAAGAUCUGACGGUAUCAGGCGAAUCAGCAUCGGCUAACUUCGUGCCAGCAGCCGCGGUAAUACGAGGGAUGCAAGCGUUAUCCGGAAUUAUUGGGCGUAAAGCGUCCGCAGGUGGCUCUGUAAGUCUGUCGUUAAAGAAUGGGGCUCAACCCCAUACAGGCGAUGGAAACUACAAGGCUAGAGUUUGGUAGGGGUCACGGGAAUUCCUAGUGUAGCGGUGAAAUGCGUAGAUAUUAGGAAGAACACCAGCGGCGAAAGCGCGUGACUGGGCCAGUACUGACACUCAUGGACGAAAGCUAGGGGAGCGAAAGGGAUUAGAUACC
rnacentral:rRNA from 1 species